rnacentral:rRNA from 1 species
CUUCGCCACUGGUGGUCUUCCCGGGAUUAUAGGAUUUCACCCCUACCCCGAAAAUACCGUCUGCCUCUCUCGUUCCCUAGCCAGGCAGUAUCCCCCGCAAUCCAACGAUUAAUUCGGUGGAUUUAACAAGGGACUAACCUAGCCAGCUACGGAUGCUUUAGGCCCAAUAAACAUCCACACCA